rnacentral:rRNA from 1 species
GAUUAAGUUAUUAAGGGCGCACGGUGGAUGCCUUGGCACUAGAAGCCGAUGAAGGACGUUACUAACGACGAUAUGCUUUGGGGAGCUGUAAGUAAGCUUUGAUCCAGAGAUUUCCGAAUGGGGAAACCCAGCAUGAGUUAUGUCAUGUUAUCGAUAUGUGAAUACAUAGCAUAUCAGAAGGCACACCCGGAGAACUGAAACAUCUUAGUACCCGGAGGAAGAGAAAGAAAAUUCGAUUCCCUUAGUAGCGGCGAGCGAAACGGGAAGAGCCCAAACCAACAAGCUUGCUUGUUGGGGUUGUAGGACACUCUAUACGGAGUUACAAAGGACGACAUUAGACGAAUCAUCUGGAAAGAUGAAUCAAAGAAGGUAAUAAUCCUGUAGUCGAAAAUGUUGUCUCUCUUGAGUGGAUCCUGAGUACGACGGAGCACGUGAAAUUCCGUCGGAAUCUGGGAGGACCAUCUCCUAAGGCUAAAUACUCUCUAGUGACCGAUAGUGAACCAGUACCGUGAGGGAAAGGUGAAAAGCACCCCGGAAGGGGAGUGAAAUAGAACCUGAAACCGUGUGCUUACAAGUAGUCAGAGCCCGUUAAUGGGUGAUGGCGUGCCUUUUGUAGAAUGAACCGGCGAGUUACGAUUUGAUGCAAGGUUAAGCAGUAAAUGUGGAGCCGUAGCGAAAGCGAGUCUGAAUAGGGCGUUUAGUAUUUGGUCGUAGACCCGAAACCAGGUGAUCUACCCUUGGUCAGGUUGAAGUUCAGGUAACACUGAAUGGAGGACCGAACCGACUUACGUUGAAAAGUGAGCGGAUGAACUGAGGGUAGCGGAGAAAUUCCAAUCGAACCUGGAGAUAGCUGGUUCUCUCCGAAAUAGCUUUAGGGCUAGCCUCAAGUGAUGAUUAUUGGAGGUAGAGCACUGUUUGGACGAGGGGCCCCUCUCGGGUUACCGAAUUCAGACAAACUCCGAAUGCCAAUUAAUUUAACUUGGGAGUCAGAACAUGGGUGAUAAGGUCCGUGUUCGAAAGGGAAACAGCCCAGACCACCAGCUAAGGUCCCAAAAUAUAUGUUAAGUGGAAAAGGAUGUGGCGUUGCCCAGACAACUAGGAUGUUGGCUUAGAAGCAGCCAUCAUUUAAAGAGUGCGUAAUAGCUCACUAGUCGAGUGACACUGCGCCGAAAAUGUACCGGGGCUAAACAUAUUACCGAAGCUGUGGAUUGUCCUUUGGACAAUGGUAGGAGAGCGUUCUAAGGGCGUUGAAGCAUGAUCGUAA